ncrna:Heliconius melpomene (postman butterfly) microRNA hme-mir-34 precursor (hme-mir-34-1)
CCACAGUGGCAGUGUGGUUAGCUGGUUGUUUAGUCACAGCAACAGCCAGUAACGCCACUGCCUCUGCGU